AUUGAACGCUGGCGGCAGGCCUAACACAUGCAAGUCGAACGGCAGCACAGAAGAGCUUGCUCUUUGGGUGGCGAGUGGCGGACGGGUGAGUAAUGUCUGGGAAACUGCCCGAUGGAGGGGGAUAACUACUGGAAACGGUAGCUAAUACCGCAUAACGUCGCAAGACCAAAGUGGGGGACCUUCGGGCCUCACACCAUCGGAUGUGCCCAGAUGGGAUUAGCUAGUAGGUGGGGUAAUGGCUCACCUAGGCGACGAUCCCUAGCUGGUCUGAGAGGAUGACCAGGAAAACUGGAACUGAGACACGGUCCAGACUCCUACGGGAGGCAGCAGUGGGGAAUAUUGCACAAUGGGCGCAAGCCUGAUGCAGCCAUGCCGCGUGUAUGAAGAAGGCCUUCGGGUUGUAAAGUACUUUCAGCGGGGAGGAAGGCGGUGAGGUUAAUAACCUUGCCGAUUGACGUUACCCGCAGAAGAAGCACCGGCUAACUCCGUGCCAGCAGCCGCCGUAA
rnacentral:rRNA from 1 species